rnacentral:rRNA from 1 species
GUCUAUGGCCAUGCCACCAUGAACAAGCCCGAUCCAGUCUGAUCUUGGAAGCUAAGCACGGUCGGGCCUGGUUGGAUGGGAGACCACCUAGGAAGCCCAGGUGCUGUAGGCG